AAUAAGGUAAGUUAAAUUAAACUAUUGAAUUGUGGUUUCAAAUAUAUAUAUCAAUCGUAUCCUUAUUC
rnacentral:tRNA from 1 species